rnacentral:rRNA from 1 species
CUCGAGUGGCGAACGGGUGAGUAACACGUGGGUGAUCUGCCCUGCACUUCGGGAUAAGCCUGGGAAACUGGGUCUAAUACCGGAUAGGAGCCAUUUUUAGUGUGAUGGUUGGAAAGUUUUUCGGUGUAGGAUGAGCUCGCGGCCUAUCAGCUUGUUGGUGGGGUAAUGGCCUACCAAGGCGGCGACGGGUAGCCGGCCUGAGAGGGUGGACGGCCACAUUGGGACUGAGAUACGGCCCAGACUCCUACGGGAGGCAGCAGUGGGGAAUAUUGCACAAUGGGCGCAAGCCUGAUGCAGCGACGCCGCGUGGGGGAUGACGGCCUUCGGGUUGUAAACUCCUUUCGCUAGGGACGAAGCUUUUUGUGACGGUACCUAGAUAAGAAGCACCGGCUAACUACGUGCCAGCAGCCGCGGUAAUACGUAGGGUGCGAGCGUUGUCCGGAAUUACUGGGCGUAAAGGGCUCGUAGGUGGUUUGUCGCGUCGUCUGUGAAAUUCCGGGGCUUAACUCCGGGCGUGCAGGCGAUACGGGCAUAACUUGAGUACUGUAGGGGUAACUGGAAUUCCUGGUGUAGCGGUGAAAUGCGCAGAUAUCAGGAGGAACACCGAUGGCGAAGGCAGGUUACUGGGCA